GGGUCUGUAGCUCAGUCGGUUAGAGCACCGUCUUGAUAAGGCGGGGGUCGUUGGUUCGAAUCCAACGACCCACCA
rnacentral:tRNA from 1 species